rnacentral:rRNA from 1 species
GAUGAACGCUGGCGGCGUGCCUAAUACAUGCAAGUCGAGCGAACAGACGAGGAGCUUGCUCCUCUGACGUUAGCGGCGGACGGGUGAGUAACACGUGGAUAACCUACCUAUAAGACUGGGAUAACUUCGGGAAACCGGAGCUAAUACCGGAUAAUAUAUUGAACCGCAUGGUUCAAUAGUGAAAGACGGUUUUGCUGUCACUUAUAGAUGGAUCCGCGCCGCAUUAGCUAGUUGGUAAGGUAACGGCUUACCAAGGCAACGAUGCGUAGCCGACCUGAGAGGGGGAUAGGCGACAUGGGAGCGGGGACGCGGACCAGACUCCUACGGGAGGCAGCAGUAGGGAAUGUUACGCAAUGGGCGGAAGCCUGACGGAGCAACGCCGCGUGAGUGAUGAAGGUCUUCGGAUCGUAAAACUCUGUUAUGAGGGAAGAACAAAUGUGUAAGGAAAUAUGCACGUAUUGACGGUACCGAAUCAGAAAGCCACGGCUAACUACGUG